ACCCGCCCAUACGUGGGGCGUGUUUUGGGUUUUGUCUAAUCUUGAAUUCAAGAUGAGCAGUUUUUGGAAAGAAUUGUAGUAACAAAUUUUCCCUAGUUAAUGCAGGAUUGUGGGUAGCCAAAGAUAUCCUCAAACAAGGUGAAUCCAACUUUUCCAUCAAUGUGGUGACUCAAGCUGGAUUAUCCCUAAAGUUUGAGGAAUUAUUGGAUUAUUCCCUAAAGGCUUGAACAAAUUCCUAACUUUGAGACCUAGGGAACCACCCUACUUCUGGUCAUUACCCAAAUCAGCUUCUCAAUCUCUGUUGAAUCUUGGGAGUUGCCUAGGAAUUUACUCUUUACUCAACUAAUAAAAUUUGUUGGUACUCACUUGCUCUUA